rnacentral:rRNA from 1 species
UACGUAGGGUGCGAGCGUUGUCCGGAAUUACUGGGCGUAAAGAGCUCGUAGGUGGUUUGUCGCGUUGUUCGUGAAAACUCACAACUCAAUUGUGGGCGUGCGGGCGAUACGGGCAGACUGGAGUACUGCAGGGGAGACUGGAAUUCUGGUGUAGCGGUGGAAUGCGCAGAUAUCAGGAGGAACACCGGUGGCGAAGGCGGGUCUCUGGGCAGUGAACUGACGCUGAGGAGCGAAAGCGUGGGGAGCGAACAGG